AACGAACGCUGGCGGCGCGCCUAAUACAUUCAAGUCGAGCGAGAAGACGUAGCAAUACGUUUGUAAAGCGGCGAACGGGUGAGGAAUACAUGGGUAACCUACCCUCGAGUGGGGAAUAACUAGCCGAAAGGUUAGCUAAUACCGCGUACGCUCCUUGGACUUCGGUUCAGGGAGGAAAGCGAUACCGUGGGUAUCGCGCUCUUGGAUGGGCUCAUGCCCUAUCAGCUUGUUGGUGAGGUAACGGCUCACCAAGGCUUCGACGGGUAGCUGGUCUGAGAGGACGAUCAGCCACACUGGCACUGCGACACGGGCCAGACUCCUACGGGAGGCAGCAGUAAGGAAUAUUGCGCAAUGGGCGAAAGCCUGACGCAGCGACGCCGCGUGGGGGAUGAAGGUCUUCGGAUUGUAAACCCCUUUCGGGAGGGAAGAUGGAACGAGCAAUCGUUCGGACGGUACCUCCAGAAGCAGCCACGGCUAACUUCGUGCCAGCAGCCGCCGCCGUAAC
rnacentral:rRNA from 1 species